rnacentral:rRNA from 1 species
UAAGGAAUAUUGGUCAAUGGACGCAAGUCUGAACCAGCCAUGCCGCGUGAAGGAUUAAGGCCCUCUGGGUUGUAAACUUCUUUUAUAGGGGAAGAAAUGUGACGGUUCUCCGUCACUUGACGGUACCCUGGGAAUAAGCAACGGCUAACUCCGUGCCAGCAACCGCGGUAAUACGGAGGGUGCAAGCGUUAUCCGGAUUCACUGGGUUUAAAGGGUGCGUAGGUGGGCUUAUAAGUCAGUGGUGAAAUCUCCGAUCUUAACUUGGAAACUGCCGUUGAUACUAUAGGUCUUGAAUUAUCUGGAGGUAAGCGGAAUAUGUCAUGUAGCGGUGAAAUGCUUAGAUAUGACAUAGAACACCAAUUGCGAAGGCAGCUUACUACAUAUAAAUUGACGCUGAGGCACGAAAGCGUGGGGAUCAAACA